ACAGGAUCAUUUCUGUAGUCAGUCUUCACUUACUUUCACACUUUCUGAAAGCAAGUCACACCCGCGUUGAUGAGAUGAAUCGUUUUAUUCGGCAGCGUGAGGAUUUGCGUGAUGCUCUUUGCGAUGUGAUUUUAUCACUCGUUUUGUGGGCGUGGCGCUUCGAUGAUCGCUCGGUAACACGAAUAGAACGAAUUCUGAGUGGUGUACCAAAUUUUUGAAUGAAUAAAUGUAAAACAAUACUGACUAUUUGUCGGAAGUUUGAUGGCGCACAUCGACAUGGCAUUUGGCGAGGUGCUGCAGGUUUAACAUUUUUGUGUUCAAGUGUGCUUCGUGCUCAAGGUGCUGCUGGACGGAUAAUUUCAACAUGAAAAACUGCAAUUGUCAUAGAACUUUUUGCUAAUUGGAAUACGGCGGCACUUUUCUAAUUACUUAACGGUGCUUAUGAAAUACCUUUCAGUGUGUGAGUAAGGACGUGUUUUUGCCUUAAUUUAAUGAGUUGCCUCACAUAAUGAGAAUGUUUCACUACAUGGGGGGAAACUGAAGCAAUUUUUAUAAAGAAAAUAAGCAGGAAACUUGAAAUAAUAACACUAUGUUUAGGAUA
rnacentral:sRNA from 1 species